rnacentral:rRNA from 1 species
GCGUGUGUGCCGUAUGUGCAUGCCCGGGUGUACAUGUUUUUGGGUGAGUGGCUGUUGAUGCAUUUGCACAUGGGAGCGCAUGCAUGCGUGAUGUGUGGUGUAAAUUUUGCAGUUCCAUUGCCUCCAUCACCAGUGAUGGAUAAUUCUACCAUGAGGGAUGCAAAACUCAGAAAGGCUAGUGGCUACUUUAGUCAACGUUUGUAUGAGAAGUUUUGGCUGAUCUUGAUUCCUGAUCUUGUGGUUUCUUUUUUUGAGAUGCACAUUUGUAUAGCAAAAUAGUUGUAGAUGCAGAUGCACUUUUCAAGUAGCAGCUUUGAACUCUUGAUUUUUAGCUCAUGAGAAGAAAAAGGUCAGUCUUUCAGCUAGUGCUUCCCCUGUGCAAUUGGAGUAUUAUUAUGUUUGGUGGUACUGUCGAUGGUUUUGUU